AAAUCUUUUUAGCUGGAGGUUGGUAGUAGGUUUAAAGUGACAAGGAGUCCCGUUGGGACAUGAAUUCCUUCCUUAAGUCGCAUGCCAAACUCUGUGCAUCUGUGUCUUGCUGUGGGUUGGGGACGCACUGCUUUCAUCAGGUGAUGAAAGUGAUUAUACCCAGCAGCGGGCUAGUGAUGGCAUGCACCUGUUAGAGGUGUGGAUGAGCCAACGGUUCAGGAGGUUUGUUCAGCAGAUCUUAGUAUUUUAUUGGAGGUGGGGCUUGGAGGACAUUGCGGAGUUGAUGACUUCCUGGUUUCCACCAGAAAUAAUAAUAACUUACUGAAAGGGAAAGGAGAGGAGCAGAGCAGAUACGGAAGGGAAGGUGAAGCGUUUGCUUCAGCCAUUUUUUGCAUUUGGUAAGUUUGGAACAUCCAAGUGACAAUCUGUAUCUUUGGCCUCAUUUGUGUGCGUGAAUAAUUUAGAGACAAGAAUAAUUUGCUCCAGAACAUGCAUCAAAAUAGCAGCAGAUAUCAAAGACUUUAAUAAGUGCCUUUCCCUCCCUCAGCUUCUCAAUUGGUGGCGGAAAGAAAGUCUUAAGGAGCAGCAAAGGCGUGAUUGUGCCAGUGUGCCGAUUUCCAAAGCAUUCCAGUAUUCCAGGGACUUGAAGGGAUGCUUCAGGAUUUCACUAGGGAUGGCAUAAAAUUUUAUUUUAAAGUCAUAUUUAAAAUUGUUGUGUAUUGAAACAUACACACACACACACACACACACACUUAAGAUAUAAUGUCCUUAAAUGUGCUGUGCAAUAUUUUGACUUACAGAGACUGCUAACAUGGUGCUUUAUGCUGCUAGGGUAACCCAGUUUGUGCAGACUUUGGAAUAAGGCUCUCUUGCCAUCUUGUUCUUACUGAAAAGCAUCCCAUGAAUGCAAGGUGAUCGGUGGCAGCAAAUGGUCUUCAGUAGCCUGCUAGGCUCCCUCCUUUUACUUACACCUUCUGCGGCUGGUUCUCUACCCACAGCCAGUCAUCUUUCUAAAACAGAAGUCUGAUCCUAUCCCUUGACUGCCUUUUAACAGCCUCUGGAGUCUUGCUGUUAAACCCAACCCCCAGACUUUUGUUGUGGUUUGCAAAGCCCCCUUGCACCUUUCUGUUCAUCUGUCCCUCUCCCUCCUGCUCCCGUGAAAGCCAAGGUGGCCUCUCGCUGUUCCUGGCAGCAGACAUGUGCCCUCAGGACCUUUGCACUUGCCCUGCUCUCUGCUGGACUGCUUUGCCUCCGCACCUGUGCGGCCACCCUCCUUUCCUUCUUCACGUCUCCUUAUUGCUCACUUCCUCGGAGCAUCUUUUUCUAAUGUGCUCACCCUUCCUUCCAUCAGCUGCGUCUCCUGAGCUUGCCUUCAUUUCCCUCAUAACAGUUCUUUCCUAACAAUGUGUGUGUAUUCGGUUUUCUUGUUGGUCUGUCUCAUCUUUCUGAGAAUGGGCCUCCUGAGGUCAGGGCCUUUACCUGACUUAUUCACUGCCCCAGCAUCUAAAAGGCGCUCACUGGGUACCCAGGAAUGAAUGAACGAAUCAGAUUUUCUUGCUACUCCACAGAUGAAUCAAAAUUGUAGAUAUAAGUUGGAUGAUGGGGCUAGUGAAAAAGCUUGGGCUUGGAACUCAGUCUUGGGCAAGUGGCCUAAGGACAGACACUGGUACCUUGUUUUUCUGAAAAGAACUGAUCAUGUCGGAAUGACAGGAAGCUCUCUGUGCACACGGCCGUCUGUGGGAGCUUUGAAGACAAUAAUAUAGUAUUCGUUCUACCGGGGAGCUCCUCUGCAUCGAGCGACGGUGAAAAAUGUUUCGGAAAGGCAAAAAACGGCACAGUAGCAGCAGUUCCCAGAGCAGUGAAAUCAGUACUAAGAGCAAGUCUGUAGACUCCAGCCUUGGCGGGCUCUCACGAUCCAGCACUGUGGCCAGCCUCGAUACAGAUUCUACCAAAAGCUCAGGACAAAGCAAUAACACUUCAGAUACCUGUGCAGAAUUUCGAAUAAAAUAUGUUGGUGCCAUUGAGAAACUGAAAUUCUCUGAAGGGAAAAGUCUUGAAGGGCCCCUAGACCUGAUAAAUUAUAUAGAUGUUGCCCAGCAAGAUGGAAAGUUGCCUUUCGUUCCUCUGGAGGAAGAAUUUAUUAUGGGAGUUUCCAAGUAUGGUAUAAAAGUGUCAACAUCAGAUCAGUAUGAUGUCCUGCAUCGGCACGCUCUGUAUUUAAUCAUCCGGAUGGUGUGUUACGAUGAUGGUCUGGGGGCAGGAAGAAGCUUGCUGGCUCUGAAGACCACAGAUGCCAGCAAUGAGGAAUACAGCCUCUGGGUUUAUCAGUGCCACAGCCUGGAGCAAGCACAAGCCAUCUGCAAAGUUUUAUCCACCGCUUUUGACUCCGUAUUAACAUCUGAGAAAUCCUGAAUUCUGCAAUCAAGUGGAAGCUGACUUCGUGUGGGAGUUCGGUGGUUUUCAGUCUGCAGGGUUGAGCUAUUAUGGGAGUAGGAAGUGGUGAAAGCGAAGAAAUGCGGUGUGUAACAUACUGAUCAUUUGCUUUUCUAUUAAAAUGUGUCUUAUUACGGUGAGUUAACUCUCAACGAGGUUGUCCGCUUUCUGCGACUAAAAAAGAAACCUCCCCUCUCGCUUUUAAACACAAAUGAGCUUAACACCUAAGCGUCACAGAAGUGCCCUCAGUGAGUGGCGAGCACGGAGCGCUUUCCACGGAGGUCACGUACCGUCCCCCCGGGGCGGCACGUGGGCCCCUCGCCGGCUGGGAGCGCCGGUCACCUGGUCUGGAACAGCGACGCAGCUCUGCCAGCUCACGACACAAAAAGUAAGACCGUGAAGGUGCACCGUCAGGAGGACGUGCUCGGAAACCAGAGCAUCGACCUCGGCGUUCCCAGGCAAGAGAUCACCGCGCGUGUUAAACAGCACAGAAAGAAUCUCAUGUACAGGAGGCUGUCAAAUGACUAGUUCGCGGGAAGAGCCAACUUACUGAACAUGCUCUAAUUAUAAAUCACUGCAUUAAGGACAACGAAAAUAAGAAUUGAUUUAGGUUAUACAAUAUAUACAGUUGCGCUGCAACCAGAUCAGAGCAAUCAAGCGAAUGAACGGAGUAUCAUUGUCUCAGGUAGCGUUCCGAGCUGCAUGCCACACCA